ensembl:snoRNA SNORA79 small nucleolar RNA, H/ACA box 79
UGAUGACUGUUCCUCCUAUUGCCGAUAGUCCUGGCACUAGGAUUUUGUGUCAUCAUAAAUUAAUUUGAUUUUCUUCACUCAGAGAAUAUUAGGAUAAUGGGGUUAUCUGUCUAUUCUCUGAAAUUUGCGGUAUCAAACAAUU